rnacentral:rRNA from 1 species
CCUACGGGGGGCUGCAGUGGGGAAUAUUGCGCAAUGGGCGAAAGCCUGACGCAGCGACGCCGCGUGAGGGAUGAAGGUCUUCGGAUCGUAAACCUCUGUCAGCAGGGAAGAACGGUCACUGUGCUAAUCAGCAGUGAAUUGACGGUACCUGCAAAGGAAGCACCGGCUAACUCCGUGCCAGCAGCCGCGGUAAUACGGGGGGUGCGAGCGGUAAUCGGAAUUACUUGGCGUAAGGGGCUCGUAGGCGGUAUGUCAAGUCAAGGGUGAAAUCCCCGCGCUCAACGUGGGAACUGCCUGUGAAACUGGCAAACUGGAGUGUGUGAGAGGAUAGUGGAAUUCCAGGUGUAGGAGUGAAAUCCGUAGAUAUCUGGAGGAACAUCAGUGGCGAAGGCGACUAUCUGGCACAUAACUGACGCUGAGGAGCGAAAGCGUGGGUAGCAAACAGGAUUAGAUACCCUAGUAGUC